GACGAACGCUGGCGGCGUGCCUAAUACAUGCAAGUUGAGCGAUGAAGAUUGGUGCUUGCACCAAUUUGAAGAGCAGCGAACGGGUGAGUAACGCGUGGGGAAUCUGCCUUUGAGCGGGGGACAACAUUUGGAAACGAAUGCUAAUACCGCAUAACAACUUUAAACAUAAGUUUUAAGUUUGAAAGAUGCAAUUGCAUCACUCAAAGAUGAUCCCGCGUUGUAUUAGCUAGUUGGUGAGGUAAAGGCUCACCAAGGCGAUGAUACAUAGCCGACCUGAGAGGGUGAUCGGCCACAUUGGGACUGAGACACGGCCCAAACUCCUACGGGAGGCAGCAGUAGGGAAUCUUCGGCAAUGGACGAAAGUCUGACCGAGCAACGCCGCGGGAGUGAAGAAGGGUUUCGUAUCGUAAAACUCUGUUGGUAGAGAAGAACGUUGGUGAGAGUGGAAAGCUCAUCAAGUGACGGUAACUACACAGAAAGGGACGGCUAACUACGUG
rnacentral:rRNA from 1 species